rnacentral:rRNA from 1 species
AAAUGCUCAAAUUUAAAAUCUGGCAGUCUACCUUUUCUUCUUUGGCUGUCCGACUUGUAAUCUACAGAAGUGGUUACCCGUGCUGGUCCGUGUAUAAGUCUCCUGGAAUGGAGCCUCAUAGAGGGUGAGAAUCCCGUCUUUGACAUGGUUCCCCAGUGCGUAGUGGUCCGCUCUCAAAGAGUCGAGUUGUUUGGGAAUGCAGCUCUAAAUGGGUGGUAAACUCCAUCUAAAGCUAAAUAUUGGCGAGAGACCGAUAGCGAACAAGUACCGUGAGGGAAAGAUGAAAAGCACUUUGGAAAGAGAGUUAAACAGUAUGUGAAAUUGUUGAAAGGGAAACACU